rnacentral:rRNA from 1 species
GACGAACGCUGGCGGCAUGCUUAACACAUGCAAGUCGAACGGAAAGGCCUCUUUCGGGGGGUACUCGAGUGGCGAACGGGUGAGUAACACGUGAGUAACCUGCCCUUGACUUUGGGAUAACUUCAGGAAACUGGGGCUAAUACCGGAUAGGAGCUCCUGCUGCAUGGUGGGGGUUGGAAAGUUUCGGCGGUUGGGGAUGGACUCGCGGCUUAUCAGCUUGUUGGUGGGGUAGUGGCUUACCAAGGCUUUGACGGGUAGCCGGCCUGAGAGGGUGACCGGCCACAUUGGGACUGAGAUACGGCCCAGACUCCUACGGGAGGCAGCAGUGGGGAAUAUUGCACAAUGGGUGGAAGACUGAUGCAGCAACGCCGUGUGCGGGAUGACGGCCUUCGGGUUGUAAACCGCUUUCGCUCAUGACGAAGCUUUGUGUGACGGUAGUGGGUAAAGAAGCACCGGCUAACUACGUG